UACGUAGGGGGCUAGCGUUGUCCGGAUUUAUUGGGCGUAAAGAGCGUGUAGGCGGCCAGGUAGGUCUGCUGUGAAAACUCGAGGCUCAACCUCGAGACGUCGGCGGAAACCAUCUGGCUAGAGUCCGGAAGAGGAGAGUGGAAUUCCUGGUGUAGCGGUGAAAUGCGCAGAUAUCAGGAAGAACACCCGUGGCGAAGGCGGCUCUCUGGGACGGUACUAACGCUGAGACGCGAAAGCGUGGGGAGCGAACAGG
rnacentral:rRNA from 1 species